GACGAACGCUGGCGGCGUGCCUAAUACAUGCAAGUAGAACGCUAAAGGAGGAGCUUGCUUCUCUGGAUGAGUUGCGAACGGGUGAGUAACGCGUAAGUAACCUGCCUGGUAGCGUGGGAUAACUAUUGGAAACGAUAGCUAAUACCGCAUAAGAGUAGAUGUUGCAUGACAUUUGCUUAAAAGGUGCAAUUGCAUCACUACCAGAUGGACCUGCGUUGUAUUAGCUAGUGGGUGGGGUAACGGCUCACCAAGGCGAGGAUACAUAGCCGACCUGAGAGGGUGGGUGGCCGCACUGGGACUGUGACACGCCACAGUGUCCCUAGGGAGGCAGCAGUAGGGAAACUUGGGGCAUGGGCGGAAGUCUGAGCGCGCAACGCCGCGUGAGUGAAGAAGGUCGUCGGGUGGUAAAGCUCUGUUGUAAGAGAAGAACGCGUGUGCGACUGUGACGUUGACACUGUGACGGUAUCGUACAAGAAAGCAACGGCUAACUACGUG
rnacentral:rRNA from 1 species